CGGGCGCUGAUUGGUUGUUAAAGUAGGCGCCCGAUUGGGUACUCCGAGGCGAGAAGGGGCCAAUGGACGAAGGGCGGGCGCUCUGCGCGCUGAUUGGACGAAACGGGGCAGGGUUUGGAUCCUACCCUUUGUUGCAAAGCUCCACAAUGGGAAGUCAAUAGGAGCGGGGCGAGCGGCUGCGGGGCGCGGCGGGGCGGCGGGUUCCCCUCGGCCGGCUCCCCCGGGCCGGCCCCCGGCGGGACGCCCCUUCCCCGGCCCGUGGCGCGGAGGCGGCUGGCGGGGGGCUGCGAGCGGCGAAGGGCCGGGCCACGGGGCCGCCCGGGAGGUUGAGGGACUGGGGGCGCGGCGGCGACACCCCCCCCCCCCCCCCCCAUUCUGCCUCCUCCGGCAGCCGCGGGGGGGCGGCGACCCCCGGGCCGGGCGCCGGAGCCUCCGGGGUGGCGGUGGGUCGCCCGGGGCUCGCGUCCCCCGUGUGUGCCGUGUGUGUGUCCGUGUGCCCCCCCGCGCCGGGGGAUGAGCGAAGCCCCCCGCAGGGGAAGGGGCUCCGGCAGCGCCGCCCGCGGUUGCUCUACCCGGGUUUUAUCGCCGCAGCAGCCCGGGAGGGCGGGUGAGGGGGCUUGGUUUCGGAGCGGGCAGCCCUCCUGGGCCGUGACACCCCCCAACAAAAGUGGUGAAGGGUCUGACCCCCGGCCCUGGGGAGGCGGGAGCGCACAGGGGUCGAGGCUGUGCCCCCCUGCGCCCCCAUCCCCCCAAACCCCGCCAGCUUGGUGGGUCGCCUUCGACGCCAAAGCGAAUCGCAAAGUUUUGUUGUGAGUCGAAAGCCGUAAUCCAUGUUCCCUGUUGGCAGCAUCUAGGAGGAUAAAUAGCAAUUACAUAAAAAGACUCAUCUUUCUGGGGAAGUUGCUGCCUCACUCUAUAUUACUAUUUCAUCGCAUUGGUAGCGACCGCUGUGAGCGAGGGCAGCUCCUGCCCCCAUGGGGAGGGUACCUCCAUCGGGAAGAACAGGUCCCAAACGCCCCACAGAUCAUAUAGCGAAUGCAACCAGGCGCCUGCUUAACCGCCGGCUCCUAAAGGUACCCGUCAGCUCCGCAAACCGGAGCGCAGCUGUAAUCACGCACACUUUGCUUGAGGUUUUUGCAUCCUCGCCGAAUGCGUAAGCCUCUCGGGCCAACGCCCGGCGCGGCGGGCAGAGUGAGGAUCGCCGGAGCUCGGCACGUAGGGAGCGUGCCUCUCGCUUCGCCGCCUGCUCGGAGAGAAAAAGCUGCCUGUCAAUAGAGCGACUUGGGAGGUGCAGGUAAGCGAUGAUUUGCGUCAUACGUGUUCUGGCAAUUCCGAAGUAAAGAAUUCCCCUUUCAUCUGAGUUGUUCAUGCUUAGGAAGAAGAAAUGGAGAACCCUGCUCUGGUGCUAUCAGCAUAUACUAAAAAUCUGGUUAUUUUUAAGACCGUACCCCGCUAUCACUAAAGCCAAGAGACCAGCGCUUAGCGUUGGUUACCGGGAGUUGGGGCUCCUUGGGUAUUUCCUCUGCCCUGGUUUUGUAGCGGGGGCUGCUUAUGCUUCUCGCUUUAGAGCUACUUGUGAUUUUUUGGUUCUCGUUGAGACCGGAGAAAGGCAGUGCGUCCUCUGGGACGAACCGGGCCGAGGGGAAGGCGCGCACGCCAAGGCUGGAGAGAGCAGGCGAGCACGCGUUAACGAGGACCGGCGCAAGGACGAAACUAAAUGCGCCCCGGGCACGCGUAGCUGGGGGGGCCGACUAAGCGUUCCUCUCUUGGCGGAGCGCGGUGAGUUGUCCCGACCGUGAAACACAAGAGAACUGGAAGAUGAAACGGUGUUGGUACCAGAUUGUCAACUAAACAUCAGCGAACGAGGAUUCGAGCCCGUGGUUUCCGAAGCCCCGUGCACGUCAAUGGUGUUUUUGGUGCGAUUUGUCAACAGUUGAAGGUUUUUUUCCUGCGGGUUCACUGGUGACAGUGAUUUUACGUCGGGUGUAUGGGUGCGCAUCCAUAGAUAUUAAAUACCUCCACGUGCACUGACUUA